rnacentral:lncRNA from 1 species
CGGAAGACUACUACAUUGAUCUGUGGUGUGAGAAUUGUGGGUCGAGUGACCGGCCUUCAAAGCUUCUACUUUUGAUUGAGAUCCUAGUUUUGCCCCUCUUGCUCUAAGGACCACAAACCCAAGGGUAUGUUAAUGGGUCUUGACUAAAUUAUUUGUUUCUCUGAUUUUUCUUAUUUUUCAGUUCUAUUAUGAAAUUAGACCGCUACUAAUUCC